rnacentral:misc_RNA from 1 species
AACGCACAUUGCGCCCUCUGGUAUUCCGGGGGGCAUGCCUGUUCGAGCGUCAUUACAACCCUCAAGCUCUGCUUGGUAUUGGGCUCGCCCUGUAGGGCUUGCCUCAAAGUCAGUGGCGGCUACCGUCCGACCUUCAGCGCAGUACUAUUCGUCGCUGUUAGGAAAGGCCUACAACCCGUCAUCACAACCCCCACUUUACAAGGUUGACCUCGGAUCAGGUAGGAAUACCCGCUGAACUUAA